UAUGGCUUUGCCACCCUGAGUGUGCCUGACCUUGGAAUCUAAGCAGGGUUGGGCAUGGUUAGUAACUGGAUGGGAGAAAUCUCACACCAACUUUCAUGAAAGUUAUGA
rnacentral:rRNA from 1 species